AUGGUCUUCACGGUGAGGCAAAUGCAGGAAAAAUGCCUUGAGCAGAACCUGAGUCUCUACAUUGUCUUCAUAGACCUGACAAAGGCGUUCGACACAGUGAACAGGGGUGCACUGUGGGUGAUCCUCAGCAAGCUUGGUUGCCCAGCAAAAUUCGUCAAACUGAUCCAGCUCUUUCAUGUUGACAUGACAGGGGAAGUCCUAUCUGGUGGAGAGUCUUCCAAUCGCUUCAACAUCUCCAAUGGCGUGAAACAAGGCUGUGUUCUCGCUCCGGUACUAUUCAAACUAUACUUCACCCAAGUAUUACAACAUGCUGUGAUGGAUCUAGACCUGGGCGUCUACAUCAAAUACUGGCUGGAUGGCUCACUAUUCGACCUUCGCCACCUGACAGCAAAAACAAAGGCAACAGAGAGACUCAUCCUGGAAGCUCUCUUUGCAGAUGACUGGGCUCUCAUGGCCCACCAAGAAAAUCAUCUCCAAACCAUUGUGGACAGGUUCUCUACCGCAACAAAACUGUUUGGCCCGACUAUCAGCCUCCGCAAAACAGAGGUGCUGUUCCAACCUGCACCAGGUAGGCCAACGAACCAGCCGUGCAUUACAAUAGACAGCACACAGCUUUCCAACGUCAGCACUUUCAAGUACCUGGGCAGCACCAUCGCCAAUGAUGGGUCCCUAGACCACGAAAUUAAUGCCAGGAUCCAAAAGGCCAGCCAGGCACUCGGGCAGCUAUGCUCCAAAGUCCUCCAACACAGUGGUGUAAGCACUGCGACGAAGCUCAAAGUGUAUAACGCAGCAGUCCACAUGAAACAGCUGGAACAAUUCCACCAACACUCCCUCCAGUCAAUCAUGAGGAUCCAAUGGCAGGACCGAAUCACCAAUCAGGAAGUCCUCAACAGAGCCAGCUCCACCAGCAUCGAAGUCAUGGUCCUCAAAACCCAGCUACGAUGGUCUGGACACAUCAUCCACAUGGACCCACAGCGAAUACCAAGACAGGUAUUCUAUGGUGAACUGUCAGCUGGACUCAGGAAACAAGACCAAGCAAAGAAAAGAUUCAAGGAUCAGCUAAAGUCCAACUUGAAGUGGGCUGGCAUUACACAAAAGCAACUAGAACUCACUGCCCCUGACAGAAGCAGCUGGCGAACCCACAUUAACCAUGCUGCCACCACCUUUGAAGAUGAGCGACUCUGA
rnacentral:lncRNA from 1 species